UACAUGGAACAAUCGUAGAUCUCUAUUCUAGUCUAGCAAGUUACUUGUAUUUCUCAACGAAGAUACAAAUUUGCGAUUAGCGUAUCUGCUAUGUCGACGACAUCGCAGGAUCUUCCAAGUCAAACGAGAUAUCUUGCCAUCCUACAAGCGGCCGCACUGCCAAACGAAUACAUUAGAAGAGUUGGCAGGAUAGGCAAACGCAGGAGCGGACGAAAAAGGAGUAGACGAUCCAGAGGCGGAAUGACACGUCCUCCAAAUAAUGACAACCUUAUGACCUUUAAACUGGUCGUUGUGGGAGAUGGAGGUGUUGGCAAGAGCGCUCUUACAAUACAAUUUUUUCAAAAACUCUUCGUUGCGGACUAUGAUCCAACCAUUGAGGAUAGUUAUAUUCAACAUACAGAAGUGGACAAACAAUGGUGUAUCUUGGAUGUAUUAGAUACAGCUGGUCAAGAGGAAUUUAGUGCUAUGCGUGAACAAUAUAUGCGGAAAGGUGACGGAUUUCUUUUGGUAUAUUCUGUAACUGAUAAACAGUCGUAUCAAAACAUUGUCAAUUUUCAUACUCAAAUUCUACGAGUGAAAGAUAGAGAUAUUUAUCCUAUGUUACUGGUGGCUAACAAAGUUGAUUUGGUGCAUUUGAGAAAGGUCACAGAGGAACAGGGAAGAGAAUUGGCUCAUCGUUUAGGUAUACCUUAUAUUGAGACUUCUGCCAAAGAUCCACCGCUAAAUGUAGAUGCAGCAUUUCAUGAGGUUGUUCGCAUUAUCAGAAAUCAACCCCCAGCCGAAUUGGAGAAAAAUCAAAAGAAGCGACGACGUUCGAAAAAGUGCAACAUUUUAUAAGUUUUGAAAACGAACUACACACACGUGCGAGAACCAAGGACCACGGUGCUGCAUCAUAAUCAUGCAAUACCUUUGCUUUUAGAAGACAUUGACGAAUGCUGAAAUAUCUUCCUUUAUAUUGUGGAUAUAAUAUUUAUGGAAAAUAAAUAUUUAAUAGAAGUGUGCCAAUGUGAAAAACGAGAUGAGCUUUGAUGCCAAUGCUAAACAAUGAAAACAAAAUUAGAUUCUUUAAAUCUAAUUUACGAUUUGUUUGUUACGAUAUUUGAAAAAAAAUAAGCGUUGGAACCAUUGACUGUCCAUUCUUUGUAUGACAAAUUAAGACCACAUCUUUAACCAAGUGUGAGUGUACACAUUACAUUUUGUCCAUGGAAAAGAAUAUAUAUACCCAGAUAGCAAAACUUGCAGAGCAAAUUUUGAACAGAACACUAUCAAUUUUUGAUAACAAAAAGGAAAUAAAUUGUACAUACAAAGUCUGAAGUAUCUGAAGAUAUCGGCAAACUGCCAUCAAAAAUAAAGUGAAACUUGCUGGCAUGUUGUGUCAGCAGUUUCAGAAAUCGAACAGAUUUUAUAGCUUGUAUUCGUUUUCUAUUGUCAAUCUGCCAUUAGUUUGUCUACACACGCAAAUUCUGUUCGGUUUUUGCCAUCAAUCUGCUGAUAACACAUUAGCAGACUUUGUCGACAAUGACAGAUCCUGAACUUAAUACGGAUGCAAAUGGUUCUGCUGUCAGAAUCUGAUUGAAUUUCCUGCCAAUCUAUACGCAGUUUGCUAUCAGGGCACACACGCACGCGCGCGCGCGCGCGCGCGCACACACACACACACACACACACA